rnacentral:rRNA from 1 species
UACAGAGGGUGCAAGCGUUAAUCGGAAUUACUGGGCGUAAAGCGAGCGUAGUCGGUUAUUUAAGUCGGGUGUGAAAGCCCCGGGCUCAACCUGGGAAUUGCAUUCGAUACUGGAUAGCUAGAGUUCGGCAGAGGGAAGCGGAAUUUCCGGUGUAGCGGUGAAAUGCGUAGAUAUCGGAAGGAACAUCAGUGGCGAAGGCGACUUCCUGGCCUGUUCUUGACGCUGAGGCGCGAAAGCUAGGGUAGCAAACGGG